GCAGCUACUCAAUCUCUCUUCCUGGCUUACUUCCCUCCUCCAUGAAAUCAGGAUAAUAAUCCCUGCUUCAUAAACGGAAUACAGAAACGUGCAGUUGAGGCUGGGCUGGAAGAGCCUUGGUCCAGGUAAACCUGAUUCUCCCACUCUCUGCUAAAAAUGCUUCAAUGACUCUCAUCACCAUCAAGAUGGACAUUAAACUCCUGACUGUUCAGGCAUCCUCCCUCUACCCACUCCCUUCAAAACACUGCAUUGCUGGUGGGGUCCCAAGACCUCAUCUAACUGAACCAAAGCAAUACACUUUCAUCACCAUGCCUGGCAGGCAGUGAGGCCUCUGAGGACCCUACUGCAGGCAUUGGGCUGAAGACUUAGUCUCAUCAUCAGUUCCCUCUUGUAGGGGAAUGAGUGCCCAGGCUGAUCUCAGGAGCUGAAUGAGAGGUGAUGCCUCAUCUUCCAACAGAGAGGAAAGGCAGUUCCCCAAACCCCAGAAACCACUGCAUCAUGGGUCUGGCCAGUCCACCAGCAGACAUCUACUGAGUACCUACUAAGCAUCAGGCACUGAGCUUGGCAUGAAGGAUUCAAAAAUGAAAGGCAAGGUGUUAUGCAGAUGGCAGAUGGUUACACAAAUAGGCAUUAUGAUUGAUGUGCAUAUAUUUGAUGCAAGUACCACAGCAGUAUCAAAGGCAUUUGCCUUGCUUGGAGUGGAGUGGGGGAAGCUUCCUGGAGGAGGUUGUGUAUGUUCUUUAUCAUCAUUGAGCAACCAAAGCCUGUGCUCACCUUGCCUCAACCUACAAACUCCAAAGAGGGAAAUGCAGCUUUGUUAUGAAUGAAGAAAUUCAAUCUAGACCCAUCCUGUGCCAUGUGGAAGCCACCAGCCCCUUGUGGCUAUUGUUCAUUUGAAAGGAGGCUAGAGUACUGGAGAUGUACCAUAAAUGUAAAAUACACGCUGGAUUUUGAAGACUUACUACAAAACAGAAAGAAUGAAAACUAUUGCAUUAAUAUUUUUAUAUUGUUUACACAUUGAAAUAAUAGUUUGGAUACAUUGCAUUGAGUUAAAUAAAAUAUAUU
rnacentral:lncRNA from 10 species